AUUGAACGCUGGCGGCAGGCCUAACACAUGCAAGUCGAACGGUAGCAGGAAGAAGCUUGCUUCUUCGCUGACGAGUGGCGGACGGGUGAGUAAUGUCUGGGAAACUGCCUGAUGGAGGGGGAUAACUACUGGAAACGGUAGCUAAUACCGCAUAACGUCGCAAGACAAAAGAGGGGGACCUUCGGGCCUCUUGCCAUCGGAUGUGCCCAGAUGGGAUUAGCUUGUUGGUGGGGUAACGGCUCACCAAGGCGACGAUCCCUAGCUGGUCUGAGAGGAUGACCAGCCACACUGGAACUGAGACACGGUCCAGACUCCUACGGGAGGCAGCAGUGGGGAAUAUUGCACAAUGGGCGCAAGCCUGAUGCAGCCAUGCCGCGUGUAUGAAGAAGGCCUUCGGGUUGUAAAGUACUUUCAGCGGGGAGGAAGGGAGUAAAGUUAAUACCUUUGCUCAUUGACGUUACCCGCAGAAGAAGCACCGGCUAACUCCGUG
rnacentral:rRNA from 1 species